UGAAUGCUGCUCCAAUCAACUUAGUCUGUUUAUCAUAACCAGCAUGGGGUCAGAGACCUCAUGAAGGUAAGGUAAUGUUUAUUAUA